rnacentral:rRNA from 1 species
UACGGAGGGUGCGAGAGUUAAUCGGAAUUAAUGGGCGUAAAGGGGGCGUAGGUGGUUGAUUAAGUUAUCUGUGAAAUUCCUGGGCUUAACCUGGGACGGUCAGAUAAUACUGGUUGACUCGAGUAUGGGAGAGGGUAGUGGAAUUUCCGGUGUAGCGGUGAAAUGCGUAGAGAUCGGAAGGAACACCAGUGGCGAAGGCGGCUACCUGGCCUAAUACUGACACUGAGGCACGAAAGCGUGGGGAGCAAACAGG